rnacentral:rRNA from 1 species
UACGUAGGGGGCGAGCGUUGUCCGGAAUUACUGGGCGUAAAGGGCGCGUAGGCGGUUAAUUAAGUCAGAUGUGAAACCCCUCGGCUUAACCGGGGACUGGCAUUUGAAACUGGUUAACUUGAGUGCAGGAGAGGAAAGUGGAAUUCCUAGUGUAGCGGUGAAAUGCGUAGAGAUUAGGAGGAACACCAGUGGCGAAGGCGGCUUCCUGGACUGUAACUGACGCUGAGGCACGAAAGCGUGGGGAUCAAACAGG